rnacentral:tRNA from 1 species
GUUUUCGUAGUGUAGUGGUUAUCACGUGUGCUUCACACGCACAAGGUCCCCGGUUCGAACUCGGGCGGAAACA